rnacentral:rRNA from 1 species
UACGUAGGGUGCGAGCGUUACUCGGAAUUACUGGGCGUAAAGCGUGCGUAGGCGGUUUUGUAAGCCAGAUGUGAAAUCCCCGGGCUUAACCUGGGAAUGGCAUUUGGGACUGCAAGGCUAGAGUGUGGCAGAGGGAGGUGGAAUUCCACGUGUAGCGGUGAAAUGCGUAGAGAUGUGGAGGAACACCGAUGGCGAAGGCAGCCUCCUGGGCCAACACUGACGCUCAUGCACGAAAGCGUGGGGAGCAAACAGG